rfam:Streptomyces rimosus subsp. rimosus ATCC 10970 contig00202, whole genome shotgun sequence.
CUUCACCGCGCCCAGCAGCAGCGGCUGCUCGGCCGGCCGGCCCUGGCCGUAGGUGGCGAGGAGCGCCUGGGCCUC